rnacentral:rRNA from 1 species
AUGAGCGCCGCGGUGGUGACCAAGUCGACGCCGGUGCUGGUCGUCGGUCCGCCCGGCGGGGACGACGCCACCGUCCAUCUCACCUCCUCCUUCGACAGGUCCGCAGUCCCUUUCAGGGUCACGGCGCUGCUCCUCUUCGACCGGUCGAUCCCCCAGCCGGCGGAGACCAUCAGGACGGCAGUCUCCGAGGCGCUGGCCCACUACCGCCCCGUCGCCGGCCGUCUCGCUGCCGACGCCGACGGCGAUGGCGAUCUCCUGCGCAUCGAGGGUGCGGCCGGCGUGCCUUUUGUCGCCGCGUCGGCGCGCUGCGCGCUGGCGGACGUCGCGGCGCCGCUGCUCGGCAGCCUCGCCGUGUGGUACCCGGGCGGGCUCUGCCGCCACGCCGACCCGCUGCUCCUGGUGCAGGUCACCGAGUUCGCCUGCGGUGGGUUCGCCGUCGCGGCGACGUGGAACCACGUGCUGACCGACGGAGAGGGCAUGGCGCAGUUCCUGGGGGCCGUCGGCGAGCUCGCGCGCGGGGCGUCGCCAGCGCCGUCCGUCCGGCCGCUCCGGGCCGACGACGACUCGCUCCCGCGCCUCCCCCAGUCAUUGGUCGCGGCGCAGAAGCAGGCACUCAGCUGCGUAUUCAACAGGGACUUCGCGCUCCUCGACUUCACCGUACCCGCCGGCCUGAUCGGCCGCGUCAGAGCCGACUUCGACGCCGCGGGCCUCGACGGCGGGAAGCAACCCUGCACGGUAUUCGAGGCCGUCUCGGCAGUGCUGUGGCAGUGCCGGACCCGUGCGGCCGUCGUCUCCGUGUCCGACGAGGCCCCCGUGGCGCUGUCGUUCGCAGCCAACGUGCGCCGGCUCGUCGGCGCCAGGCCCGGGUACUAUGGCAACUGCGCGGUGGUGCAGUCCGUGACCUCAACGCGCGGCCAGGUGGCGAAUGGCGCCGUCGUGGAUGUGGCGAGGAUGAUCCGGCGCGCGAAGGAGAGGAUCCCGGAUCUGCUUGUCCCCAGUGGCACAACAACGGAACAGGGGGCGAUGGCGCUACCGUACCACACGCUGGUGCUGUCGUGCUGGAGGAACCUGGGGUUCGAGACGACGGACUUCGGCGGCGGGAGGCCGGCGCGGGUGACCUGGCAUGGGGAGGAGACGGUGGUGCCGGGCUGCGUCGUGUGCCCGCCGGGCAAGGACGGCGACAAGGACGGGGUUAGCGUCAUGUCGCUCUGCGUCAGGCCGGAGCAUGCCGACGCCUUGCUAGCAGAGCUCACCACAUCAGCAGAUCUAAAGUUGUAA